CUGUGCCCAGCUCUGCCCAACUCUGCUGAUUUGCAUGUGUACAGAGCACAGCUCACUGCUCUGAGGACUUCUUAAAAGGCUGCUCACACCCUGUGUAGCAAUCAAUUCCCAUCCAUUCACAGCAUGGGCCUGAGGACUCCUGCUCACUUCCUGGGGCUCCUGCUGCUCUGGCUGCCAGGGUUGAUAUGUGACAUCCAUAUGACCCAGACUCCAUCCUCCCUGUCCGCAUCUCUGGGAGAGAGAGUCACCAUCAACUGUCUGGCAAGUGAAGACAUUUAUAAUGCUUUAGCCUGGUACCAGCAGAAACCAGGGGCAUCUCCUAAGCUCCUCAUCUAUGAUGCAUCCAGCUUGGAAGAUGGAGUCCCACCGAGGUUCAGUGGCAGUGGAUCUGGGACACAGUAUUCUCUCACCAUCAGCAGCCUGGAGCCUGAAGAUGUGGGAAGUUAUUUCUGUCAACAAAAUAGUGAAUACCCUCCCACAGUGAUACAAGUCAUGACAUAAACCUCCCAGGGAAGCAGAAGUGGAAAGCUGGGCUGCCCCACCUGCUGCUUUUUGUAUCUUCACUUGCGUGCAGUGUUUCUUGGUUGCAGCCAAACUCUGACUGUCAUUUGGAUGUUUUAGUAAAGGGGCCUAGUGAGACAUCUAUGCAACUAUACCUGUCCAGGUUCCUGUGGGACAGAGAUUUACUCAUGAGGAAUCCAAAUUCAGUAAGUAGCAUUUUUG